ACCGGAAGUGUCGCGUUGCCAUGGCGAGGAUGGGCGCGGGGCCCGCCCCCGUGGAGCCUGGAGCAGCGCUGGGCCCCAGGGUCGGCCGGGCAGGGUCUGGGAAGCGGCUAGGCGGGCUCCAGAUGAGACAGCCGGCAGUUACAGGACUUCAGUGUGUCACCUAGGCUGCCUUGGGAUUUAUACCUCCCUGUUCCAGAGUGCAGGGCUAGUGGACACAGGCCUGGUCCCUCCUGCCUCUUCAUCACCAGUGUAGUGGGGAGAACUGGACUCGGUUCUGUGCUAGCAGGCAUCCUGCAGCUGGACUUCUAUACUCUGGACUCUGUCUGAGGGAUUCUUGAGUCUAUGCUAUGAUCUGUCUCACCAGCUGGUUACGGCAAUGCCUUCACUAUAGGCUGCUGAAGUAUCUCAGUCACAGAUAACCAGGCUCCCAGCCCUGACUUCCACACUCUCUCUGUCCCACCCACCUACUGGUCAAAACAAGGUAUCUGAGGCAGCCACAGGCUGUUUUCCCACCUCUAGACUCUCUUGGAACUCCCUCUUGCAUGUCCCAUGAACAGUAACAUACACACCAGAGUAAGGUCUAUGCAUGUCCUGUCCCAUUCUGUGUUAUACUCACCGUGCUGACAUAUUCAGGUGACUGUUCAUCAUUUACUGAAUGCUUCCUGUAAGUCAGGCACUGGGCUAAACUCUUAAGAGAACUGCAAUAAAUCCAGAGUAAAUGACAUGUUAAAUAAAACAUGAUGAGAUAAG
rnacentral:lncRNA from 1 species